AUUGAACGCUGGCGGCAUGCCUUACACAUGCAAGUCGAACGGCAGCACGGGUGCUUGCACCUGGUGGCGAGUGGCGAACGGGUGAGUAAUACAUCGGAACAUGUCCUGUAGUGGGGGAUAGCCCGGCGAAAGCCGGAUUAAUGCCGCAUACGAUCUACGGAUGAAAGCGGGGGACCUUCGGGCCUCGCGCUAUAGGGUUGGCCGAUAGCUGAUUAGCUAGUUGGUGGGGUAAAGGCCUACCAAGGCGACGAUCAGUAGCUGGUCUGAGAGGACGACCAGCCACACUGGGACUGAGACACGGCCCAGACUCCUACGGGAGGCAGCAGUGGGGAAUUUUGGACAAUGGGCGAAAGCCUGAUCCAGCAAUGCCGCGUGUGUGAAGAAGGCCUUCGGGUUGUAAAGCACUUUUGUCCGGAAAGAAAUCCUUGGCUCUAAUACAGUCGGGGGAUGACGGUACCGGAAGAAUAAGCACCGGCUAACUACGUG
rnacentral:rRNA from 1 species